rnacentral:rRNA from 1 species
UAGCGCCUCGUGAAUUCAUCUCCGGGGGUAGAGCACUGUUUCGGCAAGGGGGUCAUCCCGACUUACCAACCCGAUGCAAACUGCGAAUACCGGAGAAUGUUAUCACGGGAGACACACGGCGGGUGCUAACGUCCGUCGUGAAGAGGGAAACAACCCAGACCGCCAGCUAAGGUCCCAAAGUCAUGGUUAAGUGGGAAACGAUGUGGGAAGGCCCAGACAGCCAGGAUGUUGGCUUAGAAGCAGCCAUCAUUUAAAGAAAGCGUAAUAGCUCACUGGUCGAGUCGGCCUGCGCGGAAGAUGUAACGGGGCUAAACCAUG